AUGACUUUCAUCGCCAUACUGAUCUGGAUGCUGGCAGUAUUAUGUAGAGAAUCUAUUGGGCAGGUGACAGUGACUCAAACUCCCUCAGUGCUGCUCGCUCAAACUGGACAAUCAGUCACUGUAAACUGUAAAUUGAACAGUGAUGCAAACUGCUGUAAUAAUGGAAAUCAUUUUCUUAACUGGUACCUAAAGAAACCUGGAGAAGCAACUAAAUUCCUGAUUUAUGCAACAAGCACCCUCCAGCCAGGAGUUCCAUCUAGAUUCAGUGGCAGCAGAUCAUCUGGGAGAGAUUUCACUCUGACCAUCAGUGGAGUCCAGACUGAAGAUGCUGGACAUUAUUACUGUCAGAGUGUACACUACAUCAACAGUGUUAAUGUGUUCACACAGUGA